UAUCAGUGUGUGGAAGAGAUGAGCUCUCAACCACAUGAAGAUAGCCAGGGAAACAUACCCGGAACGAAUUCCGAGUAGCACCUUAACUGGC
ncrna:unclassified sequences Hairpin-meta1 ribozyme sequence